GCCUUCGGUAAAGAGCGGGAACGGGUGAGUAACACGUGAGCAAUCUGCCCUCCACAUCGGGAUACCCCGGAAACGGGAGCUAAGUACCGGAUACGACCACUUCAGGCAUCUGAUGGUGGUGGAAAGUUCUGGCGGUGGAGGAUGAGCUCGCGGCCUAUCAGCUUGUUGGUGAGGUAAUGGCCCACCAAGGCUUCGACGGGUAGCCGGCUUGAGAGGGUGACCGGCCACACUGGGACUGAGACACGGCCCAGACUCCUACGGGAGGCAGCAGUGGGGAAUAUUGGACAAUGGGCGAAAGCCUGAUCCAGCAACGCCGCGUGAGGGAUGACGGCCUUCGGGUUGUAAACCUCUUUCAGCGCAGACGAAGCGAAAGUGACGGUAUGCGCAGAAGAAGCACCGGCCAACUACGUGCCAGCAGCCGCGGUAAUACGUAGGGUGCGAGCGUUGUCCGGAAUUAUUGGGCGUAAAGGGCUCGUAGGCGGUUUGUCACGGUCAGGAGUGAAAACUCGGGGCUCAACCCCGAGCCUGCUUCUGAUACGGGGCAGACUGGAGGUAUUGCCAGGGGAGAACGGGAAUUUCCUGGGUUGUAGCCGGUGGAAAUGCGCAGAUUUUCCAGGGAGGAAACACCGGGUGGGCG
rnacentral:rRNA from 1 species